rnacentral:rRNA from 1 species
UACAGAGGGGGCAAGCGUCAUUCGGAAUUAUUGGGCGUAAAGGGCGCGUAGGCGGUUUUUUAAGUCGGAUGUGUAAUCCCCGGGCUUAACCUGGGAACUGCGCUUGUGACUGCACGGCUAGAGUACGGCAGAGGGGGGUGGAAUUCCACGUGUAGCAGUGAAAUGCGUAGAUAUGUGGAGGAACACCGAUGGCGAAGGCAGCCCCCUGGGCCGAUACUGACGCUCAUGCACGAAAGCGUGGGGAGCAAACAGGAUUAGAAACCCGAGUAGU